rnacentral:rRNA from 1 species
UACGAAGGGGGCUAGCGUUGUUCGGAAUUACUGGGCGUAAAGCGCGCGCAGGCGGUCCUUUAAGUCGGGGGUGAAAGCCCAGAGCUCAACUCUGGAACUGCCUUCGAAACUAGGGGACUUGGGUACGGGAGAGGUGAGUGGAAUUCCGAGUGUAGAGGUGAAAUGCGCAGAUAUCAGGAGGAACACCGGUGGCGAAGGCGGAUCUCUGGGCCGAUACUGACGCUGAGGAGCGAAAGCGUGGGGAGCGAACAGG